UCCAGGAUUAUAAAAAUACUUAAUGCAGUGUAAAAACUGCAAAUUCAGCAGUUCGAGUGAAGACGUCCUUCUAAAGCACUAUCGGCUGCAUCACCCAAGCAUUUCCAGCUGGCCUUGUAUUCAUAUGGGGUGUGUUUGUGUCUUCAGGACAGCAGGCUUAGAGACCGAGUCCUUGUGACCCUGAGGACAUACCUGCACCAUUAAACUUGCCUGAUGGCUUUACUACUGCGAGUUGUCAUUUCUUCAACUGAUGCCCGGCGACUUCAGCUAUUUGAAGUGCCACAGUCUGUGGAGUCCCUUAUUAGAUUUCUGAAGGAGAAACUGCAGUUACAAGGACAGUUUGUCUUGCAGUUUCAGGACCCUGAUUUUGGGAAUGCCCUUUGCAGCCUGACUGACAUCUCGGAACUGCCCAGUGACAAAGCAGUCUUGCAUAUUCAGUGGUGCAAUUCAUCAUUGUCUGAAACCAGCCUUUCUGUGUCAUCUCUUGAUACUGCUAGUGUUGAUGACUCUGAUGGAUCCUUGACCAGCUCCACAGCCUCUGUACAAAGGUAUUUGCGCACAGCCUCAGAAUGGCCACUGCCAUUCCCCAUCCCACCCCUGUCAUUUGAUGUCGAGCUAAAACUACGACGAAGCAAUGAGACAUAUGCAGAAACACAGACAGGCAUUGAUGUGACCAGAGACAUAAAGAUGGAGAUUCUUGAUAAAAUAGUUCAGGCUGUUUUUGACAUAAAGGCAUAUCCCAACAAUCAAGAAAUUGAGACCAUUGCAUCUGCACUGAUUUCCAAGUAUCCAUGCCUUAAGGAGCCUGGCAAAGGUAAGGGCUAUGAAGGAUGGUUGAUCAGCCUAAAGAACAAGCUAAACAAUUACCGUUCAAAAUUGAGAGCAGCAGGCUGCAAUGAAGUUAGUGUGAACAAGAAGCGUAAGGAUGUUGAACAUGGACAUGGAUUCACCAUGAAAAAAGCAAAGCGUGGAGAAGUGAAUUUUGUCCCUGAACAUCCAUGCAACCACACUGAUGCUUAACUUGAAGAACAAAGACUUUUAUUGAUCGAUGAAACCAAAAAGGCAAGAAGCAACAUGGUGGUCAUAAGUGAAAAAAUGGAAUUAACUUUUUCCCUGAGGAGAAAAGAAGUGGUAGAAGAUCAACCAAUUGUUGUAGACGUGCAGCAGAGGUGGCCUGCACUUUUUCUCCAGGAACAGAUAGCUGAGGAAUUCUUCAGAAUCACGAAUAAAGACCUUCUUGAUGUCUUCAGGGCAGCUAUGGACAGAUUUACACCUAAGCUCUUGAAAUUAUACAGAGCUAGAAAAGCUGCAUUUGGAGAGGACAUGGAACAGCUCCUAGAAAGACUUGAUG